GUCUUGUGGGGUGUUUUUAAUAUUAUGACUGAUCAGUGUAACCAUGACAGCAUUUCAAGAAGGAUUUAAGUUGUUUUGGAGACAAAUAGUGGACCUAGUCCUUAUUAGUUAGUUGUUAUUAUGGGUUUCCAUUACUUUAUAUAUAGCAAAUUAAUAACAUUUUUAAAAAAUCUAAAAUAAUUUACUGUUCUUGUUUUCCCUUAUAUACAGCUUUGUCUGACAUUUUGUCCGCUCUUAAUGACAUCUGGGCAUAUCAGAGAUCAAUUAUUGUAACAGGCAUUUAGAAGACCUGCCUGAUCCAUCAUGGUGCCUUACUUCUGGUUGGAGUUCUCAUCACUUGGAAAUCAUUCACUUUUGCUGAGGAUGGCCCCACAUGGACAGCCUAAGGAUCAGUGAGAUUACUGAGGAUGGUAGCGCUUAAAAACCAUGAAGAUGGCUGUGGACUGCAAUUGAUAUGAACAGUUUUUCUACAAUGGCAAAAACAAACCCCAUGUGAAAACUAUAAUGAAUGUCCUGGUUCCACAAUUGCACUUUUUGACCAUGUAGUACAAGUGAUACUUAUAAAAGUGAAUUAUUUAUAAUUGCACUAUUUGGUGUCACCCAGACGAGAAUAAUUUCCCUUUUGAGUCUAGUUCCUCUGAAAGUUUCCUCUUCAUAUUGUCUCAGGGAGUUUUUCCUUGUCACCGUCGCCUCUGGUUUGCUCAUUGGAGACAAAUUUAUACAUCUAUACAUUUAAAAUUUAUAUCAUAAAUGUAUAUAUUUCUGUAAAGCUGCUUCAAUUCUUAAGUGCCCUAUACAAAUAAAAUUGAAUUGAACUGAUUUCCAAGGAGGAAA